rnacentral:tRNA from 1 species
GGGGUUGUAGCUCAGUGGUAGAGCACUUGCCUUUUUUGCUUGAGGCCCUGGGUUCGAUCCUCAGCACCA